rnacentral:rRNA from 1 species
AGAGCGAACGCUGGCGGCAGGCCUAACACAUGCAAGUCGAGCGCCCGUAGCAAUACGGGAGCGGCAGACGGGAUAGUAACACGUGGGAACGCGCCCUUCGGUUCGGAAUAACUCAGGGAAACUUGAGCUAAUACCGGAUACGCCCUUACGGGGAAAGAUUUAUUGCCGAAGGAACGGCCCGCGCCCGAUUAGCUAGUUGGUGAGGUAAUGGCUCACCAAGGCGACGAUCGGUAGCUGGUCUGAGAGGAUGACCAGCAUCACUGGGACUGAGACACGGCCCAGACUCCUACGGGAGGCAGCAGUGGGGAAUAUUGGACAAUGGGCGCAAGCCUGAUCCAGCCAUGCCGCGUGGAUGAUGAAGGCCUUAGGGUUGUAAAGUCCUUUUAACGGGGAGAUAAUGACGGUACCCGUAGAAUAAGCCCCGGCUAACUUCGUGCCAGCAGCCGC